rnacentral:rRNA from 1 species
GACGAACCGUGCGAACGUUGUUCGGAAUCACUGGGCAUAAAGGGCUCGUAGGCGGCCAACUAAGUCGGACGUGAAAUCCCCAGGCUCAACCUGGGAACUGCGUCCGAUACUGGAUGGCUUGAAUUCGGGAGAGGGAUGCAGAAUUCCAGGUGUAGCGGUGAAAUGCGUAGAUAUCUGGAGGAAUACCGGUGGCGAAGGCGGCAUCCUGGACCGACAUUGACGCUGAGGAGCGAAAGCUAGGGGAGCAAACGGG